GGAUCAUUUGCACCAGGUGAUUGCAGUGCAGAAUAGCAGCGAGUUUAAAUUGCAGCAGCAAUUCCACAAUGUCAAGGACGUGUUAGAAAGCGCGACAAACUUUACAGUGGAAGAACCAAAGGAUAAGUCUCACCAUGAGAGGGAGUCACCUGCCAAACUCACCGAAACUUUGACGGGGGCAUCAGGAAAGUUGGGCGAAGAGAAAGUUAAAGGUGAUAGGUUUCACGCUGACAGACGCACGGAAGCAGGCGGCGGCGGAGGCGGCGGCGGCGGCGGCGGGGAGGGAGAGACGGAUGCGAGAGGGCAGCACCGGUCAAAGCUGCUGCAACGCACCAGUAUACAGGACCAGCUGAGUGACCUGAGUGACCUUGAUAAACAACUGAAGGGACAGUCAUAGUUGUAGCUGCACGCACGAGCGCAGCGCAGCGCACGACCGCGGCACACAUACGCACGCGACGCACAC